rnacentral:snRNA from 1 species
AAACAUCUAGAUGAUGGG